UGGGUUGUAGCUCAACAGCAGAGCAUCUGCCUUGCAUGAGGAAGGUCCCAGGUUCGAUCCCCGGCAACUCUG